UUAGAAACGUGGCAUGUGGUAUCCCACUACACUUGGUAUAAGCUGUCAUACUAAUUUGCUGUUUUAGACACGUGGCUUGUGAUAUCCCACUAAUUAGCUAUUUUAAACAUGUGACAAGUGGUAUGACACUGUAUUGAUGUAUGUGAAAUGUAUAGAGUCUUUCAGUUAUCAGAUAAUGUCAAGAGUUGACAGCAUGGUGUCCGAUUUAAAGUGCGAACCUGUGUACAAGUAACAACAGUAUUUAAAACCAAAACCUAUUUAAACCAACCAAACCAAAACUAGCGACCAAAAAUUAAUA
rnacentral:lncRNA from 1 species